rnacentral:rRNA from 1 species
UACGUAGGUGGCAAGCGUUGUUCGGAAUUAUUGGGCGUAAAGAGCGUGUAGGCGGCCAGGUAGGUCUGCUGUGAAAACUCGAGGCUCAACCUCGAGACGUCGGCGGAAACCAUCUGGCUAGAGUCCGGAAGAGGAGAGUGGAAUUCCUGGUGUAGCGGUGAAAUGCGCAGAUAUCAGGAAGAACACCUAUGGCGAAGGCAGCACUCUGGGACGGUACUGACGCUGAGACGCGAAAGCGUGGGGAGCGAACAGG